rnacentral:tRNA from 1 species
GGUGAGGUGGCCGAGAGGUUGAAGGCUCUCCCCUGCUAAGGGAGUAUGUAGUAAAAGCUGCAUCGAGGGUUCGAAUCCCUUCCUCACCGCCAAAA